AAUAUCCACCUUGCAGCAGCUAACUGCUUUCUGUCUGGCUAAGCUUUGGAUGUGGAGCCCCUGAGAUCUGGAUCAUGAAUAAUGCAUGAUGGGUGGUCUUACUACAGGAAUGAGGACUGUCAUUGGGCUGAAGCAAAUUGCUUUUCCCUUCGCUGGGUGCUCAAUGAGGAUGCAGCAGAUAGACGACUCACUGCAGGAGAGCGAAGGAACUAAGCGCUGCCACACAUGCACCAAGUCCUUGGUGAGUGACCCCAGGGGGCAAGCCAUCAAUGAAAGCUAGAAAAUCCCACCGCACAAGGGGGCUUCACCUCCUACCUUGAUAUCCUUUCUUCUCCUACAAAGAGAAGCAUUGACUGGCAAUGGGCAAGGUGUUGCAGCAGUGACCUGUAAUAUCCUGUCUACUAAAUCCCUUCCUACCUCCAAGUGAACAGACGCUCCGAUCACACGCAAGGACAAGGAUACUGACUGCUCUACUGCACAUUGCAACUGACUGUGAGAAGACCCCAUCACUUUUUACACCCCUCCAACCAUCUCUGAGGCUGAUGUGGCUCUAAUACAAAUGGCUCUUAAACUUUUUGUUAUUCUGCUGCUCUGUGGAAGUACUGGUUCUGAAAGACCCCUUUCUUAUAACAGUGCCCCAGAGCCUCUGGAUUUUGGAUUUGUACCCACUGCAACAUAUGACACCAGUGCUGAUCAUGAGCCUGGGGCGAUAGGCUUACUGUUUCACAUAGUCCAAGGAUUCCUGUAUAUUGUACAGCCAAAUGCAUUCCCUCAAGAUUUGGUAAGGCGGAUAGCAGUACAGAAGUUUGGCCCAUCUCGUAGUGACUAUCAAAAGCCGGAGAAUGUUGUCCUGACUUUGCAGACAAUACACUAUGAGAUUGGCUUCAUUGUGGCCACAGCCCUGGGGGUCCUGUUUUUCCUGCUCAUGCCCUUGGUGGGGCUAUGCUUCUGCAUGUGUCGCUGUUGUGAUAACUGUGGCGGGGAGAUGCACCAGAGACAAAAGAAGAAUGCUGACUGUAAAAGAGGCAGCUUCGCCACCUUCCUGUUCGUGACAUCUCUGCUUAUAAGUCUUGGAGUGCUCUGUGCUUUUGCUGCAAAUCAGAAUCUUACUAGCGAGAUCCGAGGAUCAAAGAAAUUGGUGCAAAGCAACUUCAAGGACUUGAAAACCUUGCUAGCGGAUACCCCCACGCAAAUUGACUAUUUAUUGGCAAAGUUCAAUCUAACCAAGGAGAAAGCCCUAUCAGAGCUCAAUAAUGUUGGGCCAUUAUUGGGAGAGCGCGUCCAUGAGCAGCUUGGGAAGGAAGUACGGCCAGCUUUUGAUUCUGUUCUUAACAUGGCAGGAGUCAAAGUGGAAAGGGCAAUUAAAGCAAUCAAGGAGACCAAAGAAGCUUUAGAGAAGAUCAGCGUGUCAGUGGAAGUGCUGCAGGAAGUGAUGGACAGGCUAAAUGCAAACCUUACAGAUGCCAAGAUACAGCUGAUCAGCACACUGAGUGACCCAGCAUGUUCCACUGACAUCGCUCUAAUUCCUUGCAACAAAAUCAAGAAUUCCCUCUCACAGCUGCAAGUCAAUGCAAAUUUCAGCUCGGUAAGAAACAUAAAGUUACCAGAUGUAAGCCGCUAUCUUGAAAAAUUAAACAAUGUUCUCAAAAUUGAUCUCAGCAUUUUGGUGCAAAAGGGAUAUGCCGCUUUCAAUAGCACUCCAGAAAUGGUGCAGAAUCAAACCAGGAACAUUGAAGCAGCUAUUCCUUAUGUUAAGAACGUCUUGGAUUCCAUUGGAGUAAAUAUCACACAUUUUUCAAAAAUGAUCCCAAUUCUUCAUGUCAUAUCAAACUUGACGUCAUACAUAACACAGAGUGAGAUGUUUGUGCGGGAGUACUACCCUGUAGUUGAACAGUACGACUUUUACAGGUGGUUGGGCUCUCUUGUUCUCUGCUGCAUGGUGGCGCUCAUUGUAGUCUUCUAUUUCCUUGGUUUACUAUGUGGCGCCUGUGGUUAUGACCAGCAUGCAUCUCCAACUACUAGAGGCUGCAUCUCCAAUACCGGGGGCAACUUCCUUAUGGCUGGUGUUGGAUUUAGCUUCCUCUUCUCCUGGGUCCUUAUGCUCGUUGUAAUCAUCACAUUCCUGGCUGGUGGAAAUAUUGAAAAGCUGGUAUGUGAGCCAUUUCAAGACAAGUCUUUGUUUAAGGUUCUGGAUACCCCUUAUCUGCUGAACUCACAGUGGAAAAAUUACUUGUCUGGAGUCUUAUACCAAAAUGCCAAUGUUAAUCUUACAUUUGAAAAAGUGUACAGUGACUGCAAAGACAACAAGGGCAUUUUUACUGCACUUCAGGUUGAUAAUCUUUUUAAUCUCAAUGAAUUUCUCAACAUCAGCAUGUAUGUAGAUGAAAUAUCAGAACGGAUUGACACAAUGAACAUCAACUUGAACAGCAUUGUGUUGCUUGAUGAUAAAGGAAAACAGAACUUACGGGAAUUCAGUGCAACAGGAAUUGAUGGCAUAGACUUUGAUGCAUUUCUGUCAGAAGUGGGAAAAAGCAGUACAAAAGCUGAUCUCUUAGUGUUUGCCAAUGAAUUGGAAGCAGAUGCUGACCUAUUGCCAAAAGGAGCAUUAGGAAAUGCUUUAAAAGGACACGCUAAUAGUAUACGGAUGAUACAUAUUCAGCAGAUUGUACCGAUGGAGCAGACAAUGAAAUAUGUUAAAGCUAGGAGUGAUUUGACUCAAAGCAUUAAGCUGUUAGAGAGGACGUCAUUCGACAUUGAGGGAAAGGUGCUUGAUGUCAUCUCAUCCAUUGAUGCGGCACAAAUGCUGAUCAACAAUAAUGCAUCUACAAUCAUUAAGCAGGAAUCUAAAAGAUUUAUGGACACAGUCAUAAGCUAUUUUGUGCAGUAUGUGCAGUGGGUUAAAGACUCUAUAGCCCUGGAUGUUGCUGGAUGUAAACCGAUAGCAAAUGCUAUAGACACUGCUGUAGAUUUGUUUUUAUGCAGCUACAUUAUUAAUUCCGUGAACUCAUUUUGGUUUGGUUUGGGAGGAUCUACAAUAUUCCUAAUUCCUGCCAUCAUUUUUGCUAUCAAGUUAUCAAAGUUCUACCGCAGAAUGGACACGGAAGAUGUUUAUGAUGAUGUUGAAACUGUCCCCAUGAAAAAUAUGGAAAAUGGUAAUAAUGGUUAUCAUAAUGAGUAUUUGUAUGGUAUACGCAACCCUAUUAUGACAAGCUUAUCUUCAUUUGACACCCUGAGUAGAUUCCCUCGAGCCUCUGCCCCACCACGCCAAGAUGAUUGAUGAAAGCCGACCAGUGGUUUGAGAGUGUGGAGUGCUGUUGAACAGUGGUAGAAGGCAGUAAAGAUGACGGCAUGGUUUCAUUCUCUGUGAAGUCAUUACACCAUUCUGUGCAGAAUGUCCACCUUCUGUAAUACAGAUACCAGGAUCCUGCCUAACAGACUUUGCUGAGGAUUCAAACUUUCCUUUCAAGAACUAUUUUACAUGGGCCGUAGGAAUAAUGUUCACCGCCUGCGACAAUACUUUUAAUUGUUAUGAACACACAAACCCUUCACUGCCAAGAAGUAAUGCUAUGCAUAGCGCAACAGUGGAGUUAAUAACAAGUGUUUACACUAGUGCUAAUUUUUGUAUCAAGAACUUUUGUACUUAUACUCACUAUUUAUUAUGGUAUAUUAGUUUUACAUAUUCUGUGGAAAAGAACAUAAAAGGGGGAGGGGGCUAACUGCAUACCAUUUCAGUUUGUAAAAAAAUUCACUUGUAUGGCUGGCAAAAGUAAACAUUGUUUAAUAAUAA